GAUGAACGCUGGCGGCGUGCCUAAUACAUGCAAGUCGAGCGAACGGACGAGAAGCUUGCUUCUCUGAUGUUAGCGGCGGACGGGUGAGUAACACGUGGAUAACCUACCUAUAAGACUGGGAUAACUUCGGGAAACCGUAGCUAAUACCGGAUAAUAUUUUGAACCGCAUGGUUCAAAAGUGAAAGACUGUCUUGCUGUCACUUAUAGAUGGAUCCGCGCUGCAUUAGCUAGUUGGUAAGGUAACGGCUUACCAAGGCAACGAUGCAUAGCCGACCUGAGAGGGUGAUCGGCCACACUGGAACUGAGACACGGUCCAGACUCCUACGGGAGGCAGCAGUAGGGAAUCUUACGCAAUGGGCGAAAGCCUGACGGAGCAACGCCGCGUGAGUGAUGAAGGUCUUCGGAUCGUAAAACUCUGUUAUUAGGGAAGAACAUAUGUGUAAGUAACUGUGCACAUCUUGACGGUACCUAAUCAGAAAGCCACGGCUAACUACGUG
rnacentral:rRNA from 1 species